GCCAUACGCUUCCGGCUUAGUUGCAAUUUAAGGUAAUUGACUUUCAAUUUGCGUGAAUUGAGCUCAAUUCGAAAGUUUGCUUUUUGAUCGUAAUUCCGAAGGUUUUAUCGUGUUUAGUGUUUCCGGGCAAUUGUGAGCAUAGGAAAAGCACGUGAGGAGCGUUUCUUUUGCUUAAGUUGACGUAGCGAGUCGAGGUGAGUUCUGAGUUGCCGAAAAUGGCGAAUUUCCUUCUAUGUCUAUUUUAGCAACGUAUAUAGCACUUGAACACAUGUAUAUGAAUUAUAUAGUAUCGAUCAUUCUAGCUAGACAUUCGAAGUAUGAACACACGAUUUCGUACCGGUAGCAUGAACAUGAGCAUGAAUAGAAAGCUUGAACUUGAACAUGAAGGGUAAACAUAUUUUUUUUGACGACGUAUAUCAUAGUUGAAGUAUGAGCAUGCUAUGAGUUACAUGAUAGAGGUCUAGAAUUUGUAUGACAUUUGUGGGCGACCUUUGACAGUUAACAUGCUACAUGAUAGAGGUCGUGGGAGGCCAGUUGACAUUAGACAGUUGUGGUGAGGCCUUUUGGAUGUUUUAUUUUUAUGUUGAGAUCGUUGAGCCGUUUCAUGUGAUUCUUUGUCGGUCCCAUUGUCUGAUCGUCGUGCUAUGAUAACAGCUAGUAUUCUUUCGUAUUAGAUGUUCUGACUUAGGUCGUGGGAGGCCAAUCGACAACUUGUGCAUCUUGAGGAGUCCUUGAUUGCUCAUGACUUAUGUGAGUCAUCUAUCAUCUAUUUAUU
rnacentral:lncRNA from 1 species